rnacentral:rRNA from 1 species
AUGGUAUCAGAGAUGAUUCGGGCUCGGCCCGAUCCUCCCACCCUUUGUGUACCUACCUCUGUUGCUUUGGCGGGCCGCGGUCCUCCGCGGCCGCCCCCCUCCCCGGGGGGGUGGCCAGCGCCCGCCAGAGGACCAUCAAACUCCAGUCAGUAAACGAUGCAGUCUGAAAAACAUUUAAUAAACUAAAACUUUCAACAACGGAUCUCUUGGUUCUGGCAUCGAUGAAGAACGCAGCGAAAUGCGAUAAGUAAUGUGAAUUGCAGAAUUCAGUGAAUCAUCGAAUCUUUGAACGCACAUUGCGCCCUUUGGUAUUCCGAAGGGCAUGCCUGUUCGAGCGUCAUUACAACCCUCAAGCUCUGCUUGGUAUUGGGCACCGUCCUUUGCGGGCGCGCCUCAAAGACCUCGGCGGUGGCGUCUUGCCUCAAGCGUAGUAGAACAUACAUCUCGCUUCGGAGCGCAGGGCGUCGCCCGCCGGACGAACCUUCUGAACUUUUCUCAAGGUUGACCUCGGAUCAGGUAGGGAUACCCGCUGAACUUAAGCAUAUCAAUAAGCGGAGGAA